UCCUCAUAACCAAAGAAUAUAGAGACACUGAUAUGGUAUAUAGAUAAAAUGCAGGAGUACAUUUGCACUGAACUUGAUCCAACUAUGGAGCACUCUGCUGUCAAGAGUAGCUCAUGAAGGAUAUGAGUAUAAGUAUCUCUCCGAUUUGAGAUCACCAUGGUGACUUACAAGUAACUUACUGUGCUUUGAUGUCGAACUACCUAUAUUUCUAAUACAGUGACGGA
rnacentral:lncRNA from 1 species